GAUGAAGAACGUAGCGAAAUGCGAUAAGUAAUGUGAAUUGCAGAAUUCAGUGAAUCAUCGAAUCUUUGAACGCACAUUGCGCCCCCUGGUAUUCCGGGGGGCAUGCCUGUUCGAGCGUCAUUUCACCACUCAAGCCUCGCUUGGUAUUGGGCAACGCGGUCCGCCGCGUGCCUCAAAUCGACCGGCUGGGUCUUCUGUCCCCUAAGCGUUGUGGAAACUUUCGCUAAAGGGUGUUCGGGAGGCUACGCCGUAAAACAACCCCAUUUCUAAGGUCGACCUCGGAUCAGGUAGGGAUACCCGCUGAACUUAAGCAUAUCAAUAAGCGGAGGA
rnacentral:misc_RNA from 1 species